rnacentral:tRNA from 1 species
UCCUUAAUAGCUCAAUUGGUGAGAGCGCGUGGCUGUUAACCACGAGGUCUUAGGUUCAAGUCCUAAUUAAGGAG